CGCGGGACGACCCGCGCAUCGGGUACCGGAUGGGGACGGCCCCG
rnacentral:ncRNA from 1 species